rnacentral:rRNA from 2 species
UAGUGGCGAACGGGUGAGUAACACGUGGGCAAUCUGCCCUUCACUCUGGGACAAGCCCUGGAAACGGGGUCUAAUACCGGAUAACACCGGCUUCCGCAUGGGGGCUGGUUAAAAGCUCCGGCGGUGAAGGAUGAGCCCGCGGCCUAUCAGCUUGUUGGUGGGGUAAUGGCCUACCAAGGCGACGACGGGUAGCCGGCCUGAGAGGGCGACCGGCCACACUGGGACUGAGACACGGCCCAGACUCCUACGGGAGGCAGCAGUGGGGAAUAUUGCACAAUGGGCGAAAGCCUGAUGCAGCGACGCCGCGUGAGGGAUGACGGCCUUCGGGUUGUAAACCUCUUUCAGCAGGGAAGAAGCGAAAGUGACGGUACCUGCAGAAGAAGCGCCGGCUAACUACGUGCCAGCAGCCGCGGUAAUACGUAGGGCGCAAGCGUUGUCCGGAAUUAUUGGGCGUAAAGAGCUCGUAGGCGGCUUGUCACGUCGGGUGUGAAAGCCCGGGGCUUAACCCCGGGUCUGCAUCCGAUACGGGCAGGCUAGAGUGUGGUAGGGGAGAUCGGAAUUCCU